UUUUUUUAAUUUUCUUUUUCUUAUAAGCUUGUUUAUGUGGGGAUUUUCCUUUAUCACAAAGGGUUUUUAUGAUUUAUAGUUUAAAGGUCCCCAAGGCACACGCAGUGAAUCAGCAGCGCUGAGGAGGUCGCUCCCCUCUGAACAGCCCCCUGGGCCACUCCUCCUCCAGCUUCCUCAGAGACAGACAGUGAAAUAGCACCCAGGCGCCUCCCUCCUCCCGGUGAGAACGCGGUGCUAGAGCUCCUGCCUGACCUGCUGCUCCUCACCUGCUCCACACUCAUCUGGAGUCUGCAAGCCUGCUCCCCAGGCCAUGCCUGUCACUAGGUCAGAGCGGACUCGGGGACAAGCAAGUGGGUUGAGAGCCCCUGACGUAGCGCAGCGUCCUGACAUCAUCCCUGCCGGUCCGCCUAGAGUUUAGGGAAGCACCUGGGCUGAGGUGCAGACCCUUUAAACCCUGAAAUCCCCAUUUGUCAGGGCUGCUGCUGCGGCUGGGUGCCACAGCCUGUGCAAGGUGCUUUGCUUUUCUGUCACCCCGGCACUAUUUCUCUGUCUGCGUCACAUCUUUUAUCAGCAGUCUUGCCCUGAGCGUCGCUCCCAUCACCUUCAGUACGUGCAGCACCCUGGGUCUUGCCGCCAGGUGUACGCUUGGUGAUUCAUUGCUCAUCACACGGAAAACCUGGACUCCACCUUCCCGUUCCAUGGUAACACGGACGCUUGGUGCCAGCUGCAGAUGCCUAUUCCAGGAGCUUGGGGUGAGCUGGAGGAGAGGAAUACAUGAGAGAAAUUCUCAAGAUUUUGACAUGAAGAACAAUUUCCAGACUAGACAUCCAACAGCUCAGAAAAGAAAAGCAAGAAUUGAUGAAUGGUAUUACCUCAAACUUCUCUCCCUCCCUCUCUCUCUCUGUCUCUGUCUCUCUGAUUAUCUCUGUCCCUCUGUCUCUUUGACUAUCUGUCGCUGUCCCUGUCUCACUCUGUCUGUCCCCUCGUCUGUCUCUCUGUCUCUCUCUGUCUCUCCUGUCUGUCUGUCUGUCUGUCUGUCGGUCGGUCUUUUCCUCUCUGGGUUCCUCUGCUAUGUACUCCUCACCUUGAUGUUCCACCUCACCAUGGGGGUAGAAAGCAAUGGGAUCAUGUGACAUGGACUGAAGCCCUUGAAAUCACAAACUCAAAUCACUUCUCCUUUCAGUUGUUUUCUCAGAUAUUUUGACACAGAAAUGGAAAGCCAAAUAACAGUUUUACUUCCAUGUGUAUGCAUUAGGAGGAUUAAUUUUAAUAAAAUUGCCAUGCUAUCAAUGACAUUCUUUAUGGUUCUAGAAAAAUAAAUUCUAAGAAUGAAAUUCAAAAGAUCCUAAAUAGUCAAGGCAAUUUUGAGCAGCAAGAGCAACGUUGAAGGUAUCCUAUGCCUGUUGUACAACACCCUGGAGAGACACAAUGACAAAAGCAACUUGGCACUGGUGUAAAACAUACAGUCAGCCAAACUCUCAAAGAGAAUAGAGGACCCACAAAGCAAUCCAUGCAUUCACCUCCAGAUUGUCAUUGACAAAGGAAUCAAAAGCAUACCUUGGAGAAAAUACAGCCUCUUCAAAAUAAUAUGCUAUUAAAGAUUGAAAUUAGAACUCUUCUCUCUCUCCCUGUACAAAAAUCAACUCAAAAUGAUUCAAAACCUUCAAUGGAAGACCUGAAUCUUUGAAAUUACCAGAGGAAAACACGAGAGAAAUCCUUCAAGAUUUUGACAUGAAGAACAAUAUCCUGAAUAGACAUCCAACAGCUCAGGAAAGAAAAGCAAGAAUUGAUGAAUGGGAUUUUUCAAACUAAAAAGCCUCUGAAGAGCAAAGAAAACAAUCAAUAGAGUGAAGAGACAGCCUACAGAAAGGACAAAGUCUUUGGGAAGCUACUUCCCUGAGAGCGGACUGAAAUCUAUAAUAUAUAAAAUGUUCAAAAAGCCCAACUUGAAAGAACAAAUGAUCCAGUCAAAAUAGACAAAUGAUCUAAGAAUGCAUCUCAAAAGAAAAAAAAAAUAACUAAUAAAUACAUGAAAAGUAUUCAUAUCAUUAGCCAUUUGGGAAAAACAAAGCAAAACUACAUUGAGAUUCUGUCCCACCCUCAUCAGAAAGGCUGUCAAAAAAUAAACAAAAAUAACAAACCCUGCUGAGAACAUGGAGAUAAAAGAAAUCUUCUACACUGCUGUUGGGAAUGUACAUCAGUAAAGCACAAUGGAACACAGCAUAGAAACUCCUUAAAAGACUAACGGUAAAACUUCCAUGUGACCCAGGAAUGACACUGUGGUCGUACAUUUGAAGGAAAUGAAGAUAAUGCACAGAAAAACCUCUGUGCCCCUGUUUAAGGCAGCACCAUUUGUAACAUACAGUAGGGGGAAUUAGAGUAGGCAUUUACCUUCAGAGGGUGGGCACAGAAGAUGUGGAAUACAUUCACAGUCGACUAAAAUCAUAUCACUUGCAGGAAAGCAGGCUUGAUUACAGGGAAUCACUUUAAUGAAAAUAUGCCAUUGUGGAAACAAAUGCCAAAAGUAGACUCAUAUUAAUGUAAAAAUAAUUCAUUGCAAUGAUAUGAAACAGUAUUAUAAAAGUAUAAGGUUAAUAUUUAUAAGCAAAAAGAACAUAAGAAUCCAUGAUUCUAUGAAAUAAUAUAAGAAGAAAAGAUCUUACUCUGCACACUGACGUGUAAGUAUUUUACACUGUAAAUAAAAUGUUAAGUACUGCUUCUUGUAUGUUCACUUGUAGUCAUUGCAAAAUAUUCUACCUUAGCAUUAUCAGAUUGAGUAAAUCCUCUAUUGUGAAACAUUUACAUGGUUUUAACUCUGUAACUAUUAUAUGAACACUUCAACCAAAAACACUGUAGCUAAUGUUUUUAAAAUGGUUCCACUAAUUUUCUUCAAGUGCAACUUCAAGUUAAAUGAUGGUGUAAUUGUACUGGAUUUUGGUGCCUGUUCCUAGCUUCCUAAUUACAUUACUGUACUUAUUUUUUAUGCUCCCAUUGUGCAUAAAGGUACAGAGUCAAGGCUGCUUUCACACCCACACUUCCUCCCCAGGCCUGCAGCACUGGGCGUGGCUGGACUUUCCAGGAACACACUGAGGUGGGGGCUCAGAGGUGCUGACCUUCGUAUCUUCCCUGACUAAAUCCUGACCUGGCUUAUUCCACUAAGGUACUGUAGGAGCGUCCUGGAUUGUAGUCACUUGCUGGUGGCAGAAGGUAAAAGCCAGAAUAACCUGGAGAGUUUCAGGCCUUCCCAGAAGAAUGCCAAGAAAGCAGAAUCCUUAGCAUGUAAAAUGUCUGGGGCAAAUGUGCUGGCCUCUGGGUCCAGGCAGUGCCAAGGUGCGUGUGCUCCCGAGUUCUGCAGCCCUCCUGCUGCUCUCCAGAAGGAACCUCCAUGCCCCUUUCUCAGUGGGUUUCCGGGCAGACACUGCAUGUCAUUCCAGUCAUCCAGUCGCAGUGUCUCCCCCAUGGGAGCAAGGUGCUUUUCAAGGCAUUUCCACUGGCCUCUAAAGUUGUUUACUCAAUGUAGUGUUGAAGAGUAAACUUCCCCCAAACUUCUGCUGCCAUCUGGACAAAGUAUUUUCACAUGGAUCAUUAUUACACUGUAAAAAAUCUGUCAAUGAAGAGCUCUGUUGUGUGUUUUCUUUUCUCAUAUUUUACCCUGCUUUGUCACAUACAUGAAAGCAGUUUUGGGACAUAGGCCAAAUGUGACUAUAGGUUUUAGACUCUGAUAAUUGCUCCCAUUUCUACUCUGAGGGGAAUUUGUAGACUCAAGCAUUCUGCAAUAGAAUGACUUACUGAGCAAAGGCUCCACACAUUAAGCAAAA